CCUGUGGGUGCAUGUGUAUUUGCCAUGGAAAUGCCUGUUUAAAAAAUUACUACUAAGAUGAGCAGAACACAGAUGAAAAUUAUUACCAGUCCCUCAGGAAGAGAAGUCACAUUCUUUUUGCUGUUACUUUGAACGAAGGAAAGAAGAGAUCUAGACACAAGAUCAGGGCAUGGCAAAGUGGAGGCUGCCCUGUCCUGGAUUAUGUGGAGAAAGCCACAUAAUGACAGAGGCAGAGUUGAAGUAAUGCAUUUACAAGCAGAAAAUUGCCAAGGACUGCUGGUAACACCAGAAGCUGAGAGAAAACUUCAUGGAUCAGAUUCUUUCCUAGAGCCUUCAGAGAGAGCAUGGUGCUGUCAAAACCUUGAUUUUGGAUUUCUAGGCUUUAAAACUAUGAAAGAAUAAAUGUCUGUUGCUUAAAGUCA